UUUCCUUCUUUAACAGAUUCGUCGUCCUCUCCUUCUCUUCUCUUCUCUUCUCUUCUCCUCUAAAUCUAAAUCCUUCUCCCCGAAUAUAUCUCCCCCUUUUGUUCUUUCUUUUUUGGUAAUUUACUUUUAUUUCUCCUCUCGAUUUGGUCAAAACCCUAGAUUUGUUUUCCAAAAGUGUAUCUAUAAAUGAAUAACUUUCCUCUUCUCCUUCGAUUAUAAAUAUAUAUUCUCUCUCUGGUUUCUCUACUUACCCUAAAGCCUCAGAUCUAACUCAAAAGCUUCGAAGUCUCAUCCGUUUCAAACAUCUUUCAUAUGUUCGAUCUCUAAUCUCACUAUUCGUGUCGGUAAGGUAAGAGGGUCACGAGUGAGUUUUGGGACAAAUUUUAAAAGAGAAACGCAUAGAAACUGACAGAAGAGAGUGAGCACACAAAGGCACUUUGCAUGUUCGUUGCUUUUGCUUCUCUUGCGUGCUCACUGCUCUAUCUGUCAGAUUCCGGCGGCCGAUUCGUUUCGGUCCGUUCACGUUUUCUUCUUCUAAAAUUGUGUUCCCAUCUCUCUCUCUCUUGUGUUCUUUAUCUCUCCAAAGGUAAGUAGAUACGAUCUUGAUAUCUAUAUUGAAGCUUGUUCUUGUUUUGCCAUCGAUUUGGUUUCCAAUUGCAUGCGAGUUUGCCUUUUGUUUUUUCCUUUGUUGAACUUAAUAUUUUAUGAGAUCAUUAGUAUCGAAACCUUAAUCUAUGAGUUUAAGGCGUGGUUAAGUGAGAUUAACAUGGGACCAUUAACGUUAACCUAGUUUUUCCUUAGGCUGGUCCUAACUCUUUUGAAUCUUCAAUGUGUCUCGAUCGAAGUAAAUAUUAUAUGGUUAUCUUUUCCUUUCUUUCUUUUUUGGUUUCUCAUUCGCAGAUUUAAUCCGUGAUAUGGACUUUUGAUUCAUAACUAUGUGUAGAUAUAUUAUUUGCUUCAUAUGAUCAUAUCUAUGUGUAUAGUCAUGGAUCUUGCAAUAGUACUGUUCAUGAGUCAAAUUGUUGUUGAUUAGUCGUUUGUUUUACACAUAUUAUUUAUAUUGUAUGCUCUCGUACAUUUUGAUUCCGUUUAUAUAAUUAUGUUUCUAAUUUAGGCUAAUAUACAUAGCUUAAUGUGGUUGUACUACAUAUAGAUGGUAUCUAAUUUAUAUAUCAUCGAUUCCAUGUGAUCACGUUGUGAAUCUUGCGAGAAUAUUCUUGUGGGUUUGUUUCUUCAUUUAAGAACAUGUUCUUUGCAUCCAAUACUCAAAAUGACUUAAAAAUUAAAAAAAUUGUUUGAGAGUUUUUCCACAACCUUCUAGUAAUUUUGAACCUGAUAAGUAAUUUUAGAUCUAGGAAGCGAUUUGUAGAUCUAUUUGUGAAGAAGGAAUUUAUAGUACUUGAAGUGUUUCGUCACUAGUUUGCAAAGAUGAUUAUAUGUGAUUCUUUUCUGACUUGAAUGACUUUCAGUUUUUUUUUUCUUAUAUCUAAAGUAAACACUCCAAAAUUUUCAUUUUAGUUAUAUUUAUGGCAGGUAUAAAAGAAAAUAUUGGGAUUUUUUUCAGUGAAGAGCUGAUUAAUUUUCUGAAUUGGUAGAUGUAUCUUGUCAUGCAUUGUGUUCUCUUUUUGUCAUGUUUUCUCUUUUGUUCCCUUUUUCCAGUGUUUUCAAACCAAAGAAGCCAUAUGACAUAUUUAGGUAUGAUCUUACUAUCAUUGGUCAUAUUUGGCCUUUUAGUUUCUUCAAGACAAGGAUAGUACUUUCUCGAUACUUGUGAAAGGUGUCACCAUUAACCAUUUAUUGGUAAACCUCAAGUAGGUUGAGGUUGAGCUUCUCAAAUUAGUCUAAAAUGAUAUGAGUGAGAUGGAAAAUGUCUCAUGACAUCAAAAGUAAAUAUGUAAAUGGAAUAGAUAUGGUUUUGCAGAGCACUUAUGUGUUGCAUUACACUAAUGUUACAAGAUGUCACCAAAGCUCGUUUUUUUUUGGCAGGUUACAUUUGUAUGGGAAACUAUGAGUCACAUGGUGCAGUUUUGUUGAGCUAGGAAGGCAAAAUUGAGGAGGCUUGAACAUAAGUUUGAAUGUGUGGAUGAUCUUUAACGUAUUUUUCGACGCAGCCCGAUGCAAAUUUUGAAGCGAAGUUAUUGAGAUCAAAGCUGUUUUUCCGUAGCUUAUUUAUAUUUUAUAUGAUGCUGAUUAAGAGUUUUUGUGCUUUGGUUAAUCAAUUAAUUGUCGCGUGUGUCACAUUUAUGUGGUCAUAUAUGUGUUUGUUCUAGGCUAGAGUCGGAGAGUAAAAAGUGCUUGACUUAUUAUAUGGUUAGUACUUAGUAGGUUCUGAAUGAGAUUAUUGGUCUACAAGUCCACUGCAGGAAUACCAUAAUAAUCAAUUGGUCACAUGUAAUUGGAAUUGAAUUUUUGAAUCCGGAAUGUGUCAAAUUGGAAUUGAAAUCUAAAUCCUGAACAUGUCUAAGCUAAGUGGAAGGAAUUUGAGUAUGUACCGAUAUAAAGAAAACGUUGUGUGAUUGUGUCAAAAAGAAACAUAUCCUAGCGAUUGGCUCUUCUUUGGUAUGCCUCAUAUAUUAGUUUCUUGUUUUUUUAAUGUCAAAAUAUUGCUUUAGUUUUUUUUAAUCUCUUAGUUAGUUGGAAGAAAUAAUAUCCUUAUAUCAAUUGAUUAUAUGCAAAUUUGCAUUGCAGAUUUUAAUUAAAGAGUGUAGUUUUUAAGUUAA